rnacentral:rRNA from 1 species
CCCUACGGGAGGCAGCAGUGAGGAAUAUUGGUCAAUGGGCGCAAGCCUGAACCAGCCAUGCCGCGUGCAGGAUGACGCAUCUAUGGUGUGUAAACUGCUUUUGUACGGGAAGAAACACCUCUAUGUAUAGAGGCUUGACGGUACCGUAAGAAUAAGGAUCGGCUAACUCCGUGCCAGCAGCCGCGGUAAUACGGAGGAUCCAAGCGUUAUCCGGAAUCAUUGGGUUUAAAGGGUCCGUAGGCGGUUUUAUAAGUCAGUGGUGAAAUCCGGCAGCUUAACUGUCGAACGGCCAUUGAUACUGUAGAACUUGAAUUAUUGUGAAGUAACUAGAAUAUGUAGUGUAGCGGUGAAAUGCUUAGAUAUUACAUGGAAUACCCAUUGCGAAGGCAGGUUACUAACAAUAUAUUGACGCUGAUGGACGAAAGCGUGGGGAGCGAACAGGAUUAGAUACCCGUGUAU